UCUUUAAUGUCUUUGGCAACUUUUACAAUUCAGUUUACUAUCUGACUUCUAAUAUUUGACUAUACUGUCUUGUAAAACUGAGGCGUUAUAACUAUUCAAGUUCAGUCAUAGAUUCACCUCAGUUAAAAAACUACAUUCACCCCAAAUUAGACAUUACCCCAGCAUUUGCUGAAUCUACAGGAAGGUCAUCAUUUCUUUUUGUGAGCUAAUUAUUCAAUUCCUAUAUAUUUUUGUCGAGAGUAUUUGAUCUUUAAAAAUUUCACUGUUGUUCACAGGGAGUGAAUCUUUUUGAACCCUGAUUCUUGGAUGGGCUUGCUAAUCUCCUAAUGGUUUCAUUUCACCUCAGGAGCUGAUCCUUUAAAGUGGAUGACUGAGUGGAGGGGAGGGUAGAGCAAGUGCUUGAUAGCUAGGCCCAUACCUGGUAAAUGUCUUACCUGGGCUUGGUGCUUUGAGGUCUGAAUUGUUUCUAAAUGCCCCUUGGGAUGUGUGGAAUCUUACGACCCAUUACAAGAACAGGAGCGCAUUAAUCUUCUCUGACAACUCUUCUCUUUUAGACGUCGGGGAUCUUCGACCCGUUCUUUUAGUAGGGAAUUGAAUAACUUCUUCAAGGGAGGUUGACACUCCUUAUAUUUCGGCCAGUAUCAGCGAGAUUCAAUAAGUUUCAUGAAUGUCUUCCGAACCUGGUAUUCUCUAGAGAUGUCUCCAUGCCAGCAUUCUCCAUUGAGGCAGAACAACUCUCAUCAAUCUUUUCUCAUCACUCCUCAAUCCAUGCAGCCAGCUUUUCUGCAAGCUUCUCUUCGUGUCUCCCAUAAAGUCGAAUUAAACAGGACUGGGCAAUUCUGAAAGGACCAAGGAGCCUACCUAUAAGCUGAUGACAGGCAGAUCUUCCACUGUCUGCCCUUUCAGGUUCUGGAAACUGACCCGUGAUCUCAGGUCUUUGGGCAGUAUCUCGAUCUGACAUAACUUCCCGAACAAAUGAACUAUGACAAGCUCCACAGAUGGCGUCAGCCCCUCCGUCACACUGAUCCACCCACAGAAUUCUGCCCAGUUUCCUUGGAUCCACCAGCCACAACAAGCCUCGUGGUACCCACCAUCAUUCCACCUGGCAUCCAACCGGACCCACCACAACAGACAACGCAAUCCAGAUCCCUGAGACUCAGCGUGAGACAUCAUCCGUAGCCCUAACCCUCAUUUAUUGCUGCCUCUGCCAGCUCAAAUUUGGCAGAUCGGGUCUUUGGUCUCAGAAUCAAUUGUGGGAAUAUUUUGUGCUGAUUUCUUUGAGUCCUGUCAGCCAAGCAUCUGCUGUGCACUCUUCUAACACUCAGUGCAUCACCUUCAAUCCCAUGUGUGCUGUCCACUUGAGAGUGUGAGUCCAGGAUUCUGAGGCCUCAUCCUGUCUUUGGAAGUAACAGACCACUCUUCGGCAAGUGUCCUGUGCCAAGGGCUGGACGUCAGGAAUCUUGGACCUGUUCUUGGAGCAGGGAAUUGAGUAACUUCUUCAAGGUCACGUUGACACUCUGUAUAUUUCUUCCACUAUCAGCGAGGUUCAGUAUGUCUCAUGAAUUUCUCUCGAGCCUGGUAUUCUCUACAGAUGUCUCCAUGCCAGUAUUCCCAAUUGUAGCAGAACAACUCUCAUCAAUAUGUUCGCAUCUCUCCUCAAGCCGUGCAGCCAUCUUUUCUGCCAGCUUCUCUUCGUGUCUCCCAUAAAGUCGACUUCAACAGGACUGGGCAAUUUUGAAAGGACCUUGGAGACUCACCAGUAAGAUGAUGACAGGCAGAUCUUCCACUGUCUGCUCUUUCAGGUUCUGGAAACUGACCCGUGAUCUCAGGUCUUUGGGCAGCAGCAGUAUCUCGAACUUACACAGCUUCCUGAAGAAAAGAACUAAGAAAAGCUCCACAGUGGGUGACAGCCCCUCCAUCACACUGAACCACCCACAGGAUUCUGCCCAGUUUCCUUGGAUCCACCAGCCACAACAAGCCUCUUGGUAUCCACCAACAUUCCACCUGGAUUCCAAAUGACGUCGGGAUUCUUGGACCCGUUCUUGGAGCAUGGAAUUGAGUAACUUCUUCAAGGGCAUGUUGACACUCCGUAUAUUUCUGCCAGUAUCAGCGAGGUUCAAUAUGUGUCAUGAAUGUCUUUCAAGCCUGAUAUUCUCUACAGAUGUCUCCAUGCCAGUAUUCUCCAUUGUAGCAGAACAAGUCUCAUCAAUGUGUUGGCAUCUCUCCUCAAUCCGUGCUGCCAGCUUUUCUGACAUCUUUUCUCCGUGUCUCCCAUAAAGUUGACUUCAACAGGACUGGGCAGUUCUGAAAGGACUUCGGACCCUCACCAGUAAGCUGAUGACAGGCAAAUCAUGCACUGUCUGCCCUUUCAGGUUCUGGAAACUAACCCGUGAUACCAGGUUUUUGGGCAACAGCAUUAUCUCGAACUUACACAGCUUCCUGAACAAAAGAACUAAGACAAGCUCCACAGAGGGCAGCAUCCCCUCCAUCAAACUGAUCCACCCACAGAAUUCUGCCCAGUUACCUUGGAUCCACCAGGCACAAGAAGCCUCGCGGUACCCACCAACAUUCCACCUGGAAUCCAAAAGACGUCAGGAAUCUUGGACCCGUUCUUGGAGCAGAGAACUGAGUACCUUCCUCAAUUGCACAUAGGUGUUCCACAGGUUUCUGCCAUUAUCAGCGAGGCUCAAUAUAUCUCGUGAUUGUCUUUCUUGCCUGGGAUCCUCUGCAGAAGUCUCCAUGCCAGUAUUCUCCAUUGUAGGAGAACAACCAUCAUCAAUGUGUUCGCAUCUCUCCUCAAUCCAUGCAGCCAAAUUUUCUGCCAGGUUCUCUUCGUGUCUCCCAUAAAGUCGACUUCUACAGGACUGGGCAUGUCUAAAAGUACCUCGGAGCCUCACCAGUAAGCUGAUGACAGGCAGAUCUUCCACUGUCUGACUUUUCAAUUUCUAGAAACUGACCCAUGAUCUCAGGCCACUGGGCAGCAACAGUAUCUCGAACUUACAGAGCUUCCUAAACAAUAGACUUAAGCCAAGCUCCACAGAGUGUGGCAACCCCACCAUGACACUGAUCCACCCACGGAGCUCUGCCAAGUUACCUUGGAUCCACCAGCUCAUAACAAGCCUCGUGGAACAAACCAACAUUCCACCUGGAAUCUAACCAGUAACUGCCAUCCUCAAUUUUUGCUGCAUUUUUACAGUGUUGGUGAAGGGGCUGCAUCAGACGACAGGUACUUAAGGUUUUCUGAGGCAUCAUUCUGUCUUUGGAAGUAAGAGACCACUCUUUGUCAAGUGUCCUGGACCACGGGCUGGUUUCUAGAAAAUGACCCGUGAUCUCAGGCCAUUGGGCAGCAUCAGUAUCUCGAAAUAACACAUCUUCCUGAAGAAUACACCUAAGCCAAGCUCCACAGAGGGCAGCAGCCCCUCCAUGACACUGAUUCACCCACAGAGCUCUGCCCAGAUAUACCUUGGAUCCACCAGCCUCAACAAGCCUCGUGGAACACACAACAAUUCCACCUGGAUUCAAACCGGUUUUCUGAGGCCUCAUUCUCUUUUGGAACUAAGGGACCACUCUUCAGCAUGUGUCCUGAACCAAGGGCUUCGUGAGUGGGUGUUUAUCUUGCUGUGUACAUGGGAACGAGUGAGCAUAGUUGGCACUAAUACCCUGCCAACUGGGCAUCAAGAAAUCAACACAUUCUAUAUAUAACUCACAGAAAUGUGAUUCUUGCUUAUCUCUGUUUUCUAUACAGCCAUGGUGGGAGGGUUUGUCCGAAGACUACAGUUUUGACAUUGUGUUAAUACCUCAGUUGCAGUCUUUCAAAAGGUUAAUAGAAUUGAUUUACAUAUUUUGGGAUUUAUAUGAAAAUGAAGUUAGAUUUUGAAACAUACUAAAUCUAAUUACAAGCCAGACUUGUGAAGUUCUUUUACAAUUUUGUCAGGUCUAAGGGAAAAAUAGACAGAUAGAAUGUACAGUAGCAGUCCAAAAUGAUGAAGGGGACAGGUCAAAUCUUUACUGUUGAUACCUACAACACCAACAGGAACCAUGAAAUAACUAUUGGAACCAUGAAAUAACCCCCAUCCUCGGUUACCCUUCUGCAUGUGCUGCACUUUCCUCCCAAUGACACAUACUGGCCAAUGUUGUCAUUUCAAGGGGGAACAUUUCUCUCUAGGGAAACCCAAUUAAACUAAAACACCAUAUUUAUGUGUAUUCUUGGUUCAAAAACUCCUAGAGGCGUUAUAGCUAUGAGAAAACUGCUGCAGUUUUGCUCUGCUAUUGAGAACCAGGUGCUCUUCUAUCAACCAUGAGAACAAACGGUUGAUCAUGUUGGGUAAAGCAGUUUAACCCAACAAAUUAUGCACCAACAUGAUAUACUGCACCUGGUGCUUCAAUGAAGUGAAAAGAUGGUCCACAUAUCAUGUGUCCUUACAUGUCUAUGGUGACUUUUACAGUUCACUUCACUAACUGACUUAUAACUGUUACCUAUACUGUCUAGAAAAACUGAGGCCUAAUAUAUAUCAAGUUCAGUCAAAGAUUCCCCUCACUUACCACACUCCCUUCACCCCAAGGUAGAUGUAACCCCAGCAUUUGCUGAAACUAGGCUAAGUUCAUCAUUUCUUUGUGUGAGCUAUGUAUUCUAUUCCUAUCUAUUAUAGCCGACAGUAUUUGAUCUUUGAGGAUUUAAGUGUUGUGCACAAAGUGUGAAGUUGGAGGAACACUGUACGUAGGAGUGGCUUGCUUUUCUCCUACUGGCUUCAUUGCAGCUCAAGUGCUGAUCCUUUGAAAUGGAUGCCUGAGUGGAGGGGAGGAAAGAGCAAUUUCUUGAUAUCUAGGCCCAACCCCGGGGAAAGCUUACCAGGGCCUCAUGCUCUGUGGUCUGUGUGAUUUUUAAAUGCCCCUUGGGAUAUGUGGAUUCUCACAAACCCUUCCAAGAACAUGAGCGGUUUUAUCAUCCCUGCCAUUUCUUCUCUUUUAGACGUCAGGAAUCUUGGACCACUACUUGGAGCAGAGAAUUGAGUACCUUCCUCAAGUAAACGUUGACCCUCCACAGGAUUCUGCUAGUAUCAGUGAGGCUCAACAUGACUCAUGAAAGUCUUUCAAGCCUGGUAUUCUCUAAAGAAGUCUUCAUGCCAGUAUUCUCCAUUGUAGCAGAACAACUCUCAUCAAUGUGUUCGCACGUCUCCACAAUCUGUGCAGCCAGGUUUUCUGCCAGCUUCUCUUCGUGUCUCCAUUAAAGUCGACUUCUACAGCACUGGGCAAGUCUGAAAGUACCUCACAGCCUCACCGGUAUGCUGAUGAUGGGCAGAUCUUCCACAGUCUGUCUUUUCAGUUUCUUGAAACUGACCCGUGAUCUCAGGUAGUGAAGGUCGCACAACAUUGUGAAUGCCCCUAAUGCUCCUGAAUUGCACAAUUUAAAAGAGGAAAUGUCUAUAUUUUAUUACAUGAAACUCUAAAAAAAAAAUAAAGGAUGCCAUAAAUGAUGAGAAACAAACAAAGGAAACUAAAGAAAACCAAACAAAAACAUCUCCAGCGGAAGGGAAGUCAAGUUUGGGAGGGGGAGGGGACUGACGGUGGGAUUUUGGAGAACAUUUUGGAGAAGAAGUUGUGGGUGGGUGCAGAGGGGGCUCUGCCCCAGGGGGUGGUGAUGCCUGAACUGGUUCUCCAUUGCCCAGCAGUCCAGCUGCAGAUGCAGGUUCAGGAGGAGCUGCAGGAGAUGCAGGAGGGAGCUCGGGGUCUCCUGCUGGAUCCAGAUCAUCCUUUUUUGGUCUCUGACAUCUUCCUCUGCCCCUGCCUCCUGUGUAACUAUUGGAUGUGGAGAGAGUUUUAAG